rnacentral:rRNA from 1 species
UGGGGAAUUUUGGACAAUGGGCGAAAGCCUGAUCCAGCAAUGCCGCGUGUGUGAAGAAGGCCUUCGGGUUGUAAAGCACUUUUGUCCGGAAAGAAAUCCUUGGCUCUAAUACAGUCGGGGGAUGACGGUACCGGAAGAAUAAGCACCGGCUAACUACGUGCCAGCAGCCGCGGUAAUACGUAGGGUGCAAGCGUUAAUCGGAAUUACUGGGCGUAAAGCGUGCGCAGGCGGUUUGCUAAGACCGAUGUGAAAUCCCCGGGCUCAACCUGGGAAACUGCAUUGGGUGACUGGCAGGCUAGAGUAUGGCAGAGGGGGGUAGAAUUCCACGUGUAGCAGUGAAAUGCGUAGAGAUGUGGAGGAAUACCGAUGGCGAAGGCAGCCCCCUGGGCCAAUACUGACGCUCAUGCACGAAAGCGUGGGGAGCAAACAGGAUUAGAUACCCUGGUAGUCCACGCCCUAAACGAUGUCAACUAGUUGUUGGGGAUUCAUUUCCUUAGUAACGUAGCUAACGCGUGAAGUUGACCGCCUGGGGAGUACGGUCGCAAGAUUAAAACUUAAAGGAAUUGACGGGGUCAUAGCUGUUU